rnacentral:lncRNA from 1 species
GGUAUAUAAGCGUUCAGUAUAGAAGGCAACAUUCACACUCACAAACUCUCUCUGCAACUCAGCUGAGCUCAGAACUCCUGACAACAUGUCUUACAACUGCAGCUCUGGAAACUUCUCGGCUCGCUCUCUUGGAGGUUACCUGAGGAGCUGCCAGUCAACUUGUUACCGACCAGCCUUUGGCUCUCGCUUUUUUGGAUCAACUUUCUGAAUAUCCCUCAUUAUCUUAUGGUUAUGUCUGCACUUCACAAAGCUCUAACACUCAGCCUGUGCAAUACCUUUGAUUACUGAUUAUCUGCAUCACCAGGACUUGUCAUCACAAUCCUCUUGGAAACACGUCGUUUGCUGUGGACAAAGUAACCCUGGCCUGAGAUUUUUUCUAAAUCUGACAUAUGAGAUAUGUCUUGAACUUUCGUUCUUAUGCCAAUGUUCAGAAUCACUUCUGUUACUACCUAAGUCUUCUCUUAUUAUUCUCCUAAGAUUCUUUCACUUAAACGUAUUUCACAUAGAUAUGGCAUUUAAAAUAAACUUAUUUCUCUAGCAUGAAUGCUGUCAGACCAUUUUCUUUUAUUCAUAUGACACAUUUAGUGAAUGUAUCCAGUACCUUCAACUGUCUUCAUUAGAUAAAUAUUUUUUGUUUUCUUUGUUUCAUAUGCUUCAUUAAUAUUUUGCUGGAUAGAAAGCAGGAAGUUUGGAGCAGAAUUGAAAUAUAUAGCAUAUCUCAUGUCUUGAGAGAUUUAUAUCCUUUCAGAGGUGCAUUUGUUCAUCUAAUUGCUUCAGAAAAUUUUGCUUUUAGUUAGGUAUUCAUUGAAAAAAUAUUUAUUGAAUUCUGAUUAGAUACCAGGCCUUGUGUUGAGCAAAGGCACAAAUUCCUGUCCUUUAAGGAGUUUGCACACGUAAAAUUCUAACUUACCAUCAUGUAACAAGUGCAAUAAUGGGCAUAAAAAUCAUAAGAUUCCAUGAAAGCACAAAGAAGGACUUCAAAAGGAGUCUGAGGAAAUCACAUAAAACUCAUUACUGAAAACACAAAGAGCAAGUUACCACUUCAUUUAAACAAUAAAUCUUACUAAUCUGUGUUAAUUUUAGUCCUUUCAGAAAGAGCUACCAUAUGGGAAUUGACAUGAAAGAGAUUUGUUAGGGAAAAGAUCUGCCAGAGAAAAUGGAGAAGUAGCUGGAGAAUUUUGGGAGAGACACAUUAUGAUGCUGGUCUGAACUCAGUGAAGGACAGAGGGAAGGAAAGAAGGAAUGGGGAAUACGAGAGCUACAUUUUCAUAGCUUCCACGUCCAUGAUAUUUUUUCCGAUUUUAAUUCAGCC